GUGGGGUAGUGGCCUACCAUGGCUUUGACGGGUAGCCGGCCUGAGAGGGUGACCGGCCACACUGAGACUGAGACACGGCCCAGACUCCUACGGGAGGCAGCAGUGGGGAAUAUUGGACAAUGGGCGGAAGCCUGAUCCAGCAACGCCGCGUGAGGGAUGACGGCCUUCGGGUUGUAAACCUCUUUCACCGAUGACGAAGUCUCUGCUUUUUGGUGGGGGUGACGGUAGUCGGAGAAGAAGCACCGGCCAACUACGUGCCAGCAGCCGCGGUAAUACGUAGGGUGCGAGCGUUGUCCGGAAUUAUUGGGCGUAAAGGGCUCGUAGGCGGUUUGUCGCGUCGGGAGUGAAAACACCGGGCUUAACUCGGUGCUUGCUUUCGAUACGGGCAGACUAGAGGCAUGCAGGGGGGAACGGAAUUCCUGGUGUAGCGGUGAAAUGCGCAGAUAUCAGGAGGAACACCGGUGGCGAAGGCGGUUCUCUGGGCAUGUUCUGACGCUGAGGAGCGAAAGUGUGGGGAGCGAACAGGAUUAGAUACCCUGGUAGUCCACACCGUAAACGUUGGGCGCUAGGUGUGGGAUCCAUUCCACGGGUUCCGUGCCGUAGCUAACGCAUUAAGCG
rnacentral:rRNA from 1 species